UACUAGCUAAAUAGGAGCUGGUGUACCCUACAGGACAUUUCCCCCCAGUAAUGAUUUCCUGUAGGAUACCUCCUGGUUUUUUAAUAUUAACAUUUUACAAAAUAUCCGUUUCCUCAAUACAACAUUUUUGGCCAUUGAGUAUACUGGAAACGUUUAUAUUUAUGACUGACACAACAUGUGUUUUAAAAAUGAAUAAAAGUUUGAGCUACAUCUGAAUACAGUCGCACCACUGGCAGAGGGCAGAGCUGAGUGCAGAGGUCUGAAAGCUGCUGAGCGUCAGGCAGGGCCUGCUGCUGAAGGGGGCUGCGGCCGCGGGGCCCUGGAGUCCUCACUGGACCCCAGGCGACCCAUGUGACAACCACAUGAACCGCGAGGUUGUUGUGGGUUAGAUCUAGACGGCCCCCGAGAGCUCAUAUAUUCGGAAGCCAGGCUUUGGAAGGUGGCUGGGCCUGGGUGCGACGCUCCACGCUCGUCCGUUGGUUAAGACCCGGGUGAGCUCAUAGCGGGGCGUUCCCUUGGGGGCGGGGCUGGCAGGGAGCUCGUCCCUGGGGGUGUGGCCUCCCCGGCUCCUCCGCUGGCUCGGCUCCUUGACUACACCUUAGACAGGAGCAGCUCCCUGCGGCUGUGUGUUUCUGCCAGGUUGCAGAUGGCGUGGAACCGGCUCUGCGCUGUGACCGUGAGCCGGAGCCAACCGCUCCUCCUGUAGUGUGUGGGUGGGUGUCAGGCACUGUGUCCAGCAACCGGAAAAUGACCGAGACCGCGAUCAAGGAAGAAAUGUCCCGGGCAUUUUACACUCGACAAGGACCCCAGUGUGGCCCAGAGGGUCAGUUCUCCAGAGAAGCGCAGUGUGGAUAAACCCGUGAAGAUGUGGUCUGGAACCCACCUGUUGCCAUUCAAGAACUCCCAGCCUCUGAGAAGAUAAAGCAAACACAGAGAAGCAGAACCCUGAUAAGGACACUGAAGCUCCUGGAUCUGGCCAUUCCUGAAGCUCACCUCCAGGAAAUUCCAUCUGAGGUUAUACACUGGGUUUCUGUCACUUGCACCCACAGGAGUUUUGAAAAAUAUCUCAUGAGAUUUGUGAGAAGACCCCUAGAAUUCAGAGGUACAGCAGAGGCAGGAACAUGAGAUUCCGAUACCCUCUCCCUUUUGGAGUACAUUGUCCUGUUUAUAAAGAAAGGGGUUACUAUGUCUUUAAUAGGCACGAG